rnacentral:tRNA from 2 species
GGGGCCGUAGCUCAGUUGGGAGAGCGCCUGCUUUGCAAGCAGGAGGUCGUCGGUUCGAUCCCGAUCGGCUCCA